AAAUGACAUACCAUAAGCCCUAAAUCAGAAAGGUCUUUGCCAUGAAAAGCCUGGAUUAUUUACAGGCCUGUCUUAAUUCCACAGGAUCUUGGCUCUACCCAGUAUCCUGAGGAAUCUUCAUCUAGAACACCCCAGUAAACCAGAACCAACUCUACAUCUGGCAAGCAUCGUAUCCACAAUGGAAGAGAAACAGUGUUACACAGUGCCCCAGCUUCCAGGAUUUGGGGUGACUACAGUCCAGCUAGCUGUUGUCUGAGGCUCUUGCAUGCUGCCUGCCGACAAUCCUGUCUCUGAAGAACGACAUGACAAUGUAUGCUAUGACAUGUUAUGGGAGCCAGCUUGUGGAAAUGGAUAAAAAAGAGAAGGAGGAAGAGGACUUUUCCAGACUGAAUCUACCACCACUCAUAAUAUGGGUUCAUCUCAGUAUAAUGAUCACUUCUCUGUCUCCCUCCCCCAAUCUUUGUCUUCUCCCAGUUUCUUCUUCAAUAAACAUUGCUACUCU
rnacentral:lncRNA from 1 species